rnacentral:rRNA from 1 species
UAGAGUUUGUUCAUGGCUCAGAACGAACGCUGGCGGCGUGCCUAACACAUGCAAGUCGAGCGCGAAUAGGGGCAACCCUUAGUAGAGCGGCGCACGGGUGCGUAACACGUGGAUAAUCUGCCUGGAUGCCUGGGAUAACCAGUCGAAAGAUUGGCUAAUACCGGAUAAGCCCACGGUUUCUUCGGAGACUGAGGGAAAAGGUGGCCUCUGUAUACAAGCUAUCACAACCAGAUGAGUCCGCGGCCCAUCAGCUAGUUGGCGGGGUAAUGGCCCACCAAGGCAACGACGGGUAGCUGGUCUGAGAGGACGAUCAGCCACACUGGAACUGAGACACGGUCCAGACUCCUACGGGAGGCAGCAGUGGGGAAUUUUGCGCAAUGGGCGAAAGCCUGACGCAGCAACGCCGCGUGUGUGAUGAAGGUCUUUGGAUUGUAAAGCACUUUCGACCGGGACGAAACCGUAAAGCCUAAUACGCUUUGCCUUGACGGUACCGGGAGAAGAAGCACCGGCUAACUCUGUGCCAGCAGCCGCGGUAAUACAGAGGGUGCAAGCGUUGUUCGGAAUUAUUGGGCGUAAAGCGCGUGUAGGCGGCUUUGCAAGUCGGGUGUGAAAGCCCUCAGCUCAACUGAGGAAGUGCGCCCGAAACUGCAGAGCUUGAGUGCCGGAGAGGGUGGCGGAAUUCCCCAAGUAGAGGUGAAAUUCGUAGAUAUGGGGAGGAACACCGGUGGCGAAGGCGGCCACCUGGACGGUAACUGACGCUGAGACGCGAAAGCGUGGGUAGCAAACAGGAUUAGAUACCCUGGUAGUCCACGCCGUAAACGAUGAGAACUAGGUGUCGUGGGAGUUGACCCCCGCGGUGCCGUAGCUAACGCAUUAAGUUCUCCGCCUGGGAAGUACGGUCGCAAGACUUAAACUCAAAGGAAUUGACGGGGGCCCGCACAAGCGGUGGAGCAUGUGUUUAAUUUCGACGCAACGCGCAGAACCUUACCUGGUCUUGACAUCCUCGGAAUCCUUCAGAGAUGAGGGAGUGCCCGGCAAGGGAACCGAGAGACAGGUGCUGCAUGGGCUG